UCCCACCCCGAAACCGUGCGGCGGGCGGGCGUGGGGUCUGAACCUCUGGCCUGCGGGGAACCUGUCUGGCAGGCUGUUCAUGCCUCUAUACCUUUCUUCAAAAUAAUGCCUUUCGGAAGAAGGGAUCCGCCAACAGGAGUGAAUCCCGAAUCACAAAAGCCUCCUGCUCCUGGCCCCACAAGUUUUUCAACACAAAGCAAGCCGGCUGGCCAGAAGGUGGCGCGCUUGACUCUACAAUUUCAGAAUCCCAUUACCUAAGC